rnacentral:lncRNA from 1 species
GGGAACAAGCCAGAAAUAGUCCUAUGACCAGGGAAAGUCUCCAGGAUCUACUUCUCCACUUACACAAUUGUUGGCAGCAUCCAGUUCCUUGUAGUUAUGGGACUGAGAGCUUCAGAUUUUUGUUGAUUGUUGGCCAGAGACCACCCUCAGCUCGCAGAGGACACCCCCAGUUCUUUGCCAUUUAGGACUGCCCAACAUGGCUACUUGCUUCCGCGUAGUCAGCAAGAGAAAGACUAGCAUGGUCCCACACUUACAGGGAAAGCAUCACCCGAAAGUGAGAAUGCCUAGAGGCAGGAAUCAUGGAGGCUUCCUUAACCGUCUGUCUGCAACAGCAGGUGCUAGAGAUGACACUGCAGAGUAGAGAACAAAGGAAUCUUAGUAAUUGUUCAAUCCAAUCUCCACACUUUAAAGAUGAAGAAACUGGUAUUGAGAAAAAUACACAGCUUAUCCAAGGUUGCACUGCUGGUUGGUAGCUGAGAUGAAUUUAGAACCCACAUCUGAUGACUACACCAUAUUGCUCCCAGUUUUCCUGUCUGUUCCACAUGUAAAAGUCUGACUCUUCACUUCUCCUUUGAGUAUAUAGACUUUUAACAUUUUUGUAUGUCAAGAUGGACUUUUCCUCAUACCCAGCCCCUGCCUUUUCUCCUCCCUUCAUACCUUGCAGGAUCUUUAACAGAAUUUAAAAGGAGUUUUUUGUUUUGUUUUGAUGUAUCUAAUAAAAGUCAAGGGAGGGAGAGGGCCAGUAUAAGCAAGAGUACAGUUUCCUAGUUUGUAGAUGCGGUAGUCUGAGGAAUCAGAAACACACAAAGGUUUGGAGAACUGGUACAUGCUCCCAGGUGGGAAGCCAGGACUCUUGGUAGGAUCUUGAGGACAAGGCAAAGGACAAUAAGAGAGCGAGGGGAUCCUAGAGGUGGAAUCAAGGAAGAGAAACUAGAGAGAGAAAAAGGAACUGGCUAUCCAUCCAUGAUGGAUCCUGUGUGGACUGAUGGGUGGCUUGGCAUCAUCCUUUAGUAGACUUCAUGUGGUUGAAUAAUUGGCCAAUGGAAGGAAUUUCUUUUUUGGUAACAGACUCUGUGUGUACAGUUAUGGGUCUUAAUUUAUAAUAAAAGGUUACAUUGAAAAUUGA